rnacentral:rRNA from 1 species
UGGUCAAGUUAUUAAGGGUGCAGGGCGGAUGCCUUGGCACUAGGAGCCGAUGAAGGACGUGAUAAGCUGCGAUAAGCUUCGGGGAGUUGCACGUAAACUUUGAUCCGAAGAUUUCCGAAUGAGGAAACUCACUUAGAGUAAUGUCUAAGUAUCAUUAAGUGAAUACAUAGCUUAAUGAGGGGAACUCAGGGAACUGAA